AGGACGAACGCUAGCGACAGGCCUAACACAUGCAAGUCGAGGGCAGCACAGGAGCAAUCUGAGGUGGCGACCGGCGCACGGGUGAGUAACACGUAUGCAACCUGCCUGUAAGCGGGGAAUAACCCGUUGAAAGACGGACUAAUACCGCAUAAUACUAAAUUACUGCAUGGUAAUUUAUUUAAACAUUUAUGGCUUACAGAUGGGCAUGCGCAUGAUUAGCUAGUUGGAGAGGUAACGGCUCCCCAAGGCAACGAUCAUUAGGGGUUCUGAGAGGAAGGUCCCCCCACACUGGUACUGAGACACGGACCAGACUCCUACGGGAGGCAGCAGUGAGGAAUAUUGGUCAAUGGACGAGAGUCUGAACCAGCCAAGUCGCGUGCAGGAAGAAUGUCCUAUGGAUUGUAAACUGCUUUUGCAGGGGAAUAAAGUGCAUCACGUGUGAUGUUUUGUAUGUACUCUGCGAAUAAGGAUCGGCUAACUCCGUGCCAGCCGCCGC
rnacentral:rRNA from 1 species